rnacentral:rRNA from 1 species
GUGUCAGCCGCCGCGGUAAUACAGAGGGUGCAAGCGUUGUUCAGAAUCACUGGGCUUAAAGGGCGCGUAGGCGGAUCACCAAGUCCGGGGUGAAAGCCCCCAGCUUAACUGGGGAAGUGCCUUGGAUACUGGUUGUCUCGAGGGAGGUAGGGGCAGUGGGAACUUCCGGUGGAGCGGUGAAAUGCGUUGAUAUCGGAAGGAACGCCGGUGGCGAAAGCGCACUGCUGGACCUCUACUGACGCUGAGGCGCGAAAGCCAGGGGAGCAAACGGGAUUAGAUACCCUCGUAGUCC